rnacentral:rRNA from 1 species
UACGUAGGGUGCGAGCGUUGUCCGGAAUUAUUGGGCGUAAAGGGCUCGUAGGCGGUUUGUCGCGUCGGGAGUGAAAACUCAGGGCUUAACCCUGAGCCUGCUUCCGAUACGGGCAGACUAGAGGUAUGCAGGGGAGAACGGAAUUCCUGGUGUAGCGGUGAAAUGCGCAGAUAUCAGGAGGAACACCGGUGGCGAAGGCGGUUCUCUGGGCCGAUACUGACGCUGAGGAGCGAAAGCGUGGGGAGCAAACAGG